AAAAAGUCGUAACAGGUUUCCGUAGGUGAACCUGCGGAAGGAUCAUUA
rnacentral:rRNA from 1 species